rnacentral:rRNA from 1 species
UACGUAGGGUGCAAGCGUUGUCCGGAAUUAUUGGGCGUAAAGAGCUCGUAGGCGGUCUGUCGCGUCGGAUGUGAAAAUCCAGGGCUCAACCCUGGACCUGCAUUCGAUACGGGCAGACUAGAGUAUUGCAGGGGAGACUGGAAUUCCUGGUGUAGCGGUGAAAUGCGCAGAUAUCAGGAGGAACACCGGUGGCGAAGGCGGGUCUCUGGGCCGUAACUGACGCUGAGGAGCGAAAGCAUGGGGAGCGAACAGG